rnacentral:misc_RNA from 1 species
GAUGAAGAACGUAGCGAAAUGCGAUACUUGGUGUGAAUUGCAGAAUCCCGUGAACCAUCGAGUCUUUGAACGCAAGUUGCGCCCGAAGCCAUCAGGUUGAGGGCACGUCUGCCUGGGCGUCACAUAUCGUUGCCCAAUGCCUAUUGCAAUGCAAUAGGAAUUUCUAGGGCGAAUGAUGGCUUCCCGUGAGCGUUGUUGCCUCGCGGUUGGUUGAAAAUCGAGUCCUUGGUAGGGUGUGCCAUGGUAGAUGGUGGUCGAGUUAGAACGAUACCGAUCAUGUGCAUGCUCCCCAAAAUAUGGCCUCUAUGACCCACACGCGUCUUUUGACGCUCAUGACGAGACCUCAGGUCAGGCGGGGCUACCCGCUGAAUUUAAGCAUAUCAAUAAGCGGAGGA